CUCCAGGGGAACACUGAGUAUGAAUUCCAAGUGAGAGCCAGACCCCGAGAAGACUCUGGCUACUACGGAUUUUGGAGUGAAUGGAGCUCCCGGCUGACACUGAAAACCAGCCCUACUGUCGUAACACAGAGAGCAGGCAUGGAAUGGAUGCUGUUCUUUAUUGUUGCCAUGGUGAUCACUGCCUCAAUCGCAACCUUUCUGGCCAAGCAACAGAGCUUGUGGAAGAAGAUCACUUGCAUCCCAGAUCCAUCUGCCUUUUUCAAACCACUUUACCUGAUGUAUAAUGGAG
rnacentral:lncRNA from 1 species